GAUGAACGCUAGCGGCAGGCUUAAUACAUGCAAGUCGAGGGGCAUCAAGGUACACGAAAGUGUAUUGUUGGCGACCGGCGGACGGGUGAGUAAUAGGUAGGUAACCUACCUCAUACUGAGGCAUAGCUGGGAGAAAUUCCAGGUAAUUCCUCAUGAGGUUAUAUGACACAUGUGAUAUAAUCAAAGGUAUCGCAAGGUACUGGUAUGAGAUGGGCUUACUGACCAUUAGCUAGUUGGUGAGAUAAGAGCUCACCAAGGCGAAGAUGGUUAGGGGUUUUGAGAGAGAGAUCCCCCACAUUGGAACUGAGAUACGGUCCAGACUCCUACGGGAGGCAGCAGUAGGGAAUAUUGGGCAAUGGGCGGAAGCCUGACCCAGCCAUGCCGCGUGAAGGAAGACGGCCUUAUGGGUUGUAAACUUCUUUACUAUGCGACUAACUAGAUUUACGAGAUAAUUCUAUAGAAUGUAGCAUAGACAAAAGCACCGGUA
rnacentral:rRNA from 1 species